GGGCACCACAAUCAAGCAUCUUAAUAAUGGUAUUUAUAAUUAUAGGCUAGAAACUACGUAUUAUAUAUAUAUAAUGGCAAUACAAAUGAUACUAUUACACAUCUUCAAUGCAAUCCCCUCUCAUUUGAGGGAGAAUGGAUAGGAAGGGUGCCGCGCUAUGUACCGAUCGAUCUUGGAAGCUUAGCACAA